CCUCAUCACCAGCAAAGCGUGGUGGUACACACCUAUAAUCUCAACCUUUUGAGGGCUGACAGUAGACUCACAAGCUCAACACCAGCCAGGGCUGCAAAAUGAGAUUCUGCCACCACCUGCAUCCCCUUUUCCAACCCUUCCAGCCAAGUCAAACAAA